CCCAGUGGUCAUGUGGGAGAGAGGAAACCUGUGCUCUAUUUCCAGAGGUGGCUGAGUAUGUUGUAUCAAUUGCUGUAGCACGGCUGGGACCCAGAACCCUCUCUGGAAGGAGAAGAAUGUCUUCUGCAUCAAGUGCAGCAAUCAGACUUGCCAAACAACCUAUUUCAGUGGAAUGUGGGUUCCCGGGCGGCUGGAAGUGCUUGGCCGCCAGCCUCGUGGCUCACCUGGGGCGUGCCGUCACCGUGCCUUGCCACCUCCAGAGACACAUGCAGUGCCUCUCCUCCUCCCUCUGUGCACUAGCACCUUGGCCAUAUCAUUCUGAGGACAGAAGGAAGCCUGUACACAGCUCCUUGGAGCAAGCAAUGAGAUUUGCGUGCCGGCGUACUUCCCCCACCAACGCGCUCUGUGGCAGCUGAAGUGACUCGGUGCGGCCCUCGCUUGGUCCUUUUGACCUCCCUAUUGUUAGGGAAGAUAAAUGCU